UCUAGAGAGUCCACAGAAUAUUACUGCAGUGGUUUGGUUCCGAUCGGACAAAAAACCUAGGACUAGUUCGCAAAAGUAGGUUUUUAACAUAUUUGUGAAUAACAAUUGAACGAUUUGAUUGACAGCAAUGGUUCUAGAGGCAAAGUUGUGCAUUAUGAGGAGAUCUAUCAAAUGAUAUGCAUAUUGUGUUGAUAUGUGAAACACCACGUGAUUACAGAACCAUAAAACUCGUUAGCGCCAACUAGUGGCCGAUUUCUUUCAAAAUUCUUACAGACCUUAAGGUUCAUGAGUCGAACGUACCCAGCGAGUUUCGUUCCGAUCAACAUCCGUUAACCCUUUCAAAUAGGUGCUUAAAUUUGUUUGGCCAAUGGCGGCCAUGUUUUUUUAGAUAUGCAAAUGUCCUCAUAGGUACUUGUGCCCCUUCAGACCAAGACACUGCAUACCGAUUUUCAAGUCGAUCGAGCCAACGGUUGCCUAGUUAUAGCCAUUUAUGUGUUUUUUCUAUCUUAUAGCGCCCCCAAGUGGCAGAGAUGCGCAAUUUUUUUGAUUUGACCAAAGAUUGAGCUCAUACAUAUGUAUACCGAGUUUGGUGAAGAUAUCUCAUUCUGUUCAAGAGUUAUAGUCAAAAUAGCAUUUGGCUAACGUUAGCAUAGACGCUUUUUGGUGUACUGUUUCGCGUAAGAAUUGAAAUUUCAACUUUUUUUUGAUAAUUAUUGAUAUUGAGUGUCCAGGGAAUAUUUAUGAAGUGGUUUGGUUCUGAUUGGUUGAAAAUCCUAGGACUAGUUCGCAAAAGUAGGUUUCGGAUAUAGCUCGAUUUUGCGAGAAAACGGUGCGUCGUAGACCCCAAAAAGGCGCCGUGCACUUUUGUUCGGGCUAACCCAAGGAUUGCAACAAUGCCAUGUUUUUGAGUCUACGGCUAACGGUUUACGAUUUACGGCCAAAAAUGUCAAAAAUUUUAGUUUUUUGCGCUGUAGCGCCCCCGUUAGGCCGAUUGGGUCGAGACUCGGUAUCUGACAAGAAGGCCGGACUACUACAUUCUGACCAAAUUUCAGCUUUCUAGGCCUUACGGUUUGGGCUGCACGAACAGUUUGAGUGGAGAAUAAUAAUAAUAAUUAAAGCUGCAAGCAGCAUUUACCGGGGUUCAAGCACAUUAAGGCCUCUGAGGUGGUCUGAGCCAACCUGGAUGCAUGGAUGACAGUUAAACACAUCCAAAAUGGAGAACAGGCUAACAGACAGACACACACACUGAAAGUAAAUGAUUAGACUAAUAUAUGUAUACUCUAUAAGCAUAUGCACACACACAAAGACAAAGACACACAUAUACAUGCACACACAUUUUGUUGCAGAUGUUGGGAUUUGAAAUAAGUGAUAGGUGACAUAAAAUUAUUGCAAGUCUUCUCUUUUUCAGACUUUAGAUGUCAUUUUCAGGUUAAACUGUAAUCAUAAUGUGGCAAAAUUGUAAAAACUGAUAUAUCUGUAUAAACAAAAUGGAAAACAUCAAUUCAAUGAGAUUUAAAAUGUUAUAACAGUUAAUUUAUUAAUGUUUUGGCAUGAAUUCAUGAAAACAGUACUGUUUAACUAGCUGAAUGAGCCCAUUAGUGGUCUUCCGCUGCCAUCUAGUGGUUAUAAAUUGCAUUUACUCAAACAACACUGUGUUUUAAAACAUAACUGUUAUAGUGUUGUAAUUUUUUUUUGCCCAAUCUGUCUUAAAUUUU